ACGGGAGGCAGCAGUGGGGAAUAUUGCACAAUGGAGGAAACUCUGAUGCAGCAACGCCGCGUGAGUGAAGAAGUAUUUCGGUAUGUAAAGCUCUAUCAGCAGGGAAGAAGAUGACGGUACCUGACUAAGAAGCCCCGGCUAACUACGUGCCAGCAGCCGCGGUAAUACGUAGGGGGCAAGCGUUAUCCGGAUUUACUGGGUGUAAAGGGAGCGUAGGUGGCAACGCAAGUCAGAAGUGAAAGCCCGGGGCUCAACUCCGGGACUGCUUUUGAAACUGUGUAGCUAGAGUGCAGGAGAGGUAAGUGGAAUUCCUAGUGUAGCGGUGAAAUGCGUAGAUAUUAGGAGGAACACCGGUGGCGAAGGCGGCUUACUGGACUGUAACUGACACUGAGGCUCGAAAGCGUGGGGAGCAAACAGGAUUAGAUACCCUGGUA
rnacentral:rRNA from 1 species